AUUUAAAUAAAAGUAGAAUUUAAUACCCGUAGGAAGCAAAUAACACUAAUAUAAGGGAGAAAGUUUAUUAUAAGGAGGAAGAAGAAAAUGUAAUGAUUCUUUGAUUAUAAACUCUUGUUCUUGUUUUUUGGUGUACAAAUGAGUGAGAUGAGUGAUGGUAUUUAUAGUGAGCAACAAUACAUAAAAUAUGAAAGAUAGUGCUUGAGUUAGUAAAUGAGUGGAUGAUCAUAGUGCUUGAGCUUGGUAAAGAAGUGGAUGAUCAUUUCAAUGCUUAUCUUAUAACACUCCCCCUUGAUCAUCCAUCUUGUAUUACGUGGUGCCUCGUUAAAAACUUAGUCAUGGAAAACCCAAUGGGAAAAACCGUAGUAAAAAUAAAAAGAGUACAACUACGUAAGCUCCCUCUCGAAUGAGUAGUCAUAGAACCUUUAGAACAAUGAU
rnacentral:lncRNA from 1 species